rnacentral:rRNA from 1 species
UACGGAAGGGGCAAGCGUUGUUCGGAAUCAUUGGGCGUAAAGGGCGCGUAGGUGGUUCUGUAUGUCUACCGUGAAAGCGUACGGCUCAACCGUAUUUUGUCGGUAGAAACUGCAGGACUUGAGGCUGGGAGGGGCUGGUGGAAUUCCCUGUGUAGCGGUGAAAUGCGCAGAUAUCAGGAGGAACACCGGUGGCGAAGGCGGAUCUCUGGGCCAUUACUGACGCUGAGGAGCGAAAGCGUGGGGAGCGAACAGG